UACGAAGGGGGCUAGCGUUGUUCGGAAUUACUGGGCGUAAAGCGUAUGUAGGCGGAUCGUUAAGUCGGGGGUGAAAUCCCGAGGCUCAACCUCGGAACUGCCUUCGAUACUGGCGAUCUUCGAGUCCGGGAGAGGUGAGUGGAACUCCGAGUGUAGAGGUGAAAUUCGUAGAUAUUCGCAAGAACACCAGUGGCGAAGGCGGCUCACUGGCCCGAUACUGACGCUGAGGAGCGAAAGCGUGGGGAGCGAACAGG
rnacentral:rRNA from 1 species